rnacentral:tRNA from 1 species
GGGAAUUAGCUCAGCUGGGAGAGCACCUGCUUUGCAAGCAGGGGGUCAGCGGUUCGAUCCCGCUAUUCUCC